GCGGUGGAGCAUGUGGUUUAAUUCGAAGCAACGCGAAGAACCUUACCAGGUCUUGACAUCCCUGACACCCAAGAGAUUGGCGUUCCCCUUCGGGGGACAGGGUGACAGGUGGUGCAUGGUUGUCGUCAGCUCGUGUCGUGAGAUGUUGGGUUAAGUCCCGCAACGAGCGCAACCCUCGCCUCUAGUUGCCAGCAUUCGGUUGGGCACUCUAGAGGGACUGCCGGCGACAAGUCGGAGGAAGGUGGGGAUGACGUCAAAUCAUCAUGCCCCUUAUGACCUGGGCUACACACGUGCUACAAUGGGCGGUACAAAGGGCUGCGAACCCGCGAGGGGGAGCGAAUCCCAAAAAGCCGCUCUCAGUUCGGAUUGCAGGCUGCAACUCGCCUGCAUGAAGCCGGAAUCGCUAGUAAUCGCGGAUCAGCAUGCCGCGGUGAAUACGUUCCCGGGCCUU
rnacentral:rRNA from 1 species